rnacentral:miRNA from 1 species
UUUUAAAAUCGACUACUUAAAGAGCCGAUUUUAAAAAUGUUACUUUUAAAAUCGGCUACAUAAGAACCGAUUUUAAAA